rnacentral:rRNA from 1 species
AAUAGAUACCCAGGUAGUCCACGCCGUAAACGAUGAGUGCUAAGUGUUAGGGGGUUUCCGCCCCUUAGUGCUGCAGCUAACGCAUUAAGCACUCCGCCUGGGGAGUACGGUCGCAAGACUGAAACUCAAAGGAAUUGACGGGGGCCCGCACAAGCGGUGGAGCAUGUGGUUUAAUUCGAAGCAACGCGAAGAACCUUACCAGGUCUUGACAUCCCAUUGACCGCUAUGGAGACAUAGCUUUCCCUUCGGGGACAGUGGUGACAGGUGGUGCAUGGUUGUCGUCAGCUCGUGUCGUGAGAUGUUGGGUUAAGUCCCGCAACGAGCGCAACCCUUGUCCUUAGUUGCCAUCAUUUAGUUGGGCACUCUAAGGAGACUGCCGGUGACAAACCGGAGGAAGGUGGGGAUGACGUCAAAUCAUCAUGCCCCUUAUGACCUGGGCUACACACGUGCUACAAUGGACGGUACAAACGGUUGCCAACCCGCGAGGGGGAGCUAAUCCGAUAAAACCGUUCUCAGUUCGGAUUGUAGGCUGCAACUCGCCUAC